UAGCAUUCUAUUUUAUUUAUUGGUUGGAUAUCUGUUUUCCCUUGCUUGAAAUAUCUAAGUUUAUUGUCUUUGUCUAAAUGAAUUAUUUUCAUAGCAUCACUUUGACAUUUCAAUAUGAUUCCUCAUUUGUUCCAUUCCAGGGGGACUUUCAGUUUCAAAAGGUUGAGGACCCCUGGGUUAAACUACAGUGGCUGGCCCAACUUUCCAUUUUCUUUUCAAAGCCCCAGUACUCCGCUCCUCUCUUGUUCUACAUUACAGAAUGGGCGCCUAGUUCACCAAAGCUGAGGUCAACGUAAUGAGAGAAUGGAAAAACUGACUUCUCCCUCAUUCUUUCUCUCAUUUUAACUGUGAUGAAUUUAACAUGUUGAAGAUCAUGAAAUACAAUCGAACAUGAAAAGCUUGCCCACAACAGCCAUACUUUCCAGGUUUGUUAACCCAGUUGAGUAACUUUCCCAAAGCGAAAUUCAGCCAUGUGCGAUAAGUGCAGCUGCACUUCCUUCUGCAAUCUGAUGACCGUGGCUGCACCGCUACGCUUCUGCAGUUUCCAUUUUCUGUCAAAGUCGGCCUACUUUCCCACCAAUAAAAAAAAAACUUCCAGCCUGGAUUGGUGAGGCACUUUCCAACACUGAGGUGACUGUGACCAUUCAUUCUCAAUAAGAGUUAAUCAAGACGCCACUUUAAUGCAACACAUGAGUUUGUCAAGUGUGCACGGUGCACAGGAUGUUGGUUCUGUUUGUCAUCACUAAUAUGUUCCAUUUCAAUGCUCUGUCCUUUCUAUUUGAGGAAGAUCCUGCUGCUGUUUGACUGAUGUGCAGUUUUGAAGGCUGAUAUUUAUCUGGGGCUAACACUUUGUAUUUUUUAUAGACAGAAAUAGCUUUAAAUUAGACAUUUGGACUGUAUGAUCUCAAUUGCAUCGUUGAGCUUGAAGGUUAAUUCUUGGAAACAAGAGUAAGUUCUUAUCAUGAGAUAUUCAGUUUGAUUGUGUCAGAAGUAAAUCCUCCUUCAUCUUUCUCCUGAUCCAUGACCUUUGACCCUUUUUUCAUUGAAUGCUG
rnacentral:lncRNA from 15 species